GAUGAACGCUGGCGGCGUGCCUAAUACAUGCAAGUCGAGCGAACGGACGAGAAGCUUGCUUCUCUGAUGUUAGCGGCGGACGGGUGAGUAACACGUGGAUAACCUACCUAUAAGACUGGGAUAACUUCGGGAAACCGGAGCUAAUACCGGAUAAUAUUUUGAACCGCAUGGUUCAAAAGUGAAAGACGGUCUUGCUGUCACUUAUAGAUGGAUCCGCGCUGCAUUAGCUAGUUGGUAAGGUAACGGCUUACCAAGGCAACGAUGCAUAGCCGACCUGAGAGGGUGAUCGGCCACACUGGAACUGAGACACGGUCCAGACUCCUACGGGAGGCAGCAGUAGGGAAUCUUCCGCAAUGGGCGAAAGCCUGACGGAGCAACGCCGCGUGAGUGAUGAAGGUCUUCGGAUCGUAAAACUCUGUUAUUAGGGAAGAACAUAUGUGUAAGUAACUGUGCACAUCUUGACGGUACCUAAUCAGAAAGCCACGGCUAACUACGUGCCAGCAGCCGCGGUAAUACGUAGGUGGCAAGCGUUAUCCGGAAUUAUUGGGCGUAAAGCGCGCGUAGGCGGUUUUUUAAGUCUGAUGUGAAAGCCCACGGCUCAACCGUGGAGGGUCAUUGGAAACUGGAAAACUUGAGUGCAGAAGAGGAAAGUGGAAUUCCAUGUGUAGCGGUGAAAUGCGCAGAGAUAUGGAGGAACACCAGUGGCGAAGGCGACUUUCUGGUCUGUAACUGACGCUGAUGUGCGAAAGCGUGGGGAUCGAACAGGAUUAGAUACCCUGGUAGUCCACGCCGUAAACGAUGAGUGCUAAGUGUUAGGGGGUUUCCGCCCCUUAGUGCUGCAGCUAACGCAUUAAGCACUCCGCCUGGGGAGUACGACCGCAAGGUUGAAACUCAAAGGAAUUGACGGGGACCCGCACAAGCGGUGGAGCAUGUGGUUUAAUUCGAAGCAACGCGAAGAACCUUACCAAAUCUUGACAUCCUUUGACAACUCUAGAGAUAGAGCCUUCCCCUUCGGGGGACAAAGUGACAGGUGGUGCAUGGUUGUCGUCAGCUCGUGUCGUGAGAUGUUGGGUUAAGUCCCGCAACGAGCGCAACCCUUAAGCUUAGUUGCCAUCAUUAAGUUGGGCACUCUAAGUUGACUGCCGGUGACAAACCGGAGGAAGGUGGGGAUGACGUCAAAUCAUCAUGCCCCUUAUGAUUUGGGCUACACACGUGCUACAAUGGACAAUACAAAGGGCAGCGAAACCGCGAGGUCAAGCAAAUCCCAUAAAGUUGUUCUCAGUUCGGAUUGUAGUCUGCAACUCGACUACAUGAGGCUGGAAUCGCUAGUAAUCGUAGAUCAGCAUGCUACGGUGAAUACGUUCCCGGGUCU
rnacentral:rRNA from 1 species